rnacentral:rRNA from 1 species
AACGAACGCUGGCGGCAUGCCUAACACAUGCAAGUCGAACGAGACCUUCGGGUCUAGUGGCGCACGGGUGCGUAACGCGUGGGAACCUGCCCUUAGGUUCGGAAUAACUCCCCGAAAGGGGUGCUAAUACCGGAUAAUGUCUUCGGACCAAAGAUUUAUCGCCUUUGGAUGGGCCCGCGUUGGAUUAGCUAGUUGGUAGGGUAAAAGCCUACCAAGGCGACGAUCCAUAGCUGGUCUGAGAGGAUGAUCAGCCACACUGGGACUGAGACACGGCCCAGACUCCUACGGGAGGCAGCAGUGGGGAAUAUUGGACGAUGGGCGAAAGCCUGAUCCAGCAAUGCCGCGUGAGUGAUGAAGGCCUUAGGGUUGUAUAGCUCUUUUACCCGGGAUGAUAAUGACAGUACCGGGAGAAUAAGCGCCGGCUAACUCCGUG